CAGUCGCCGCGGUAAUACGGAGGGAGCUAGCGUUGUUCGGAAUUACUGGGCGUAAAGCGCGCGUAGGCGGUUACUCAAGUCAGAGGUGAAAGCCCGGGGCUCAACCCCGGAACUGCCUUUGAAACUAGGUGACUAGAAUCUUGGAGAGGUCAGUGGAAUUCCGAGUGUAGAGGUGAAAUUCGUAGAUAUUCGGAAGAACACCAGUGGCGAAGGCGACUGACUGGACAAGUAUUGACGCUGAGGUGCGAAAGCGUGGGGAGCAAACAGGAUUAGAUACCCGAGUAGUCCCUGUCUCUUAUAC
rnacentral:rRNA from 1 species